AAUCAACGCUGGCGGCGUGCCUCAGACAUGCAAGUCGAACGAUUAAGACUCUCUUCGGAGAGUGUAUAAAGUGGCGCACGGGUGAGUAACACGUAGGUAAUGUACCGAAGGGUGGGGAAUAACUUAGGGAAACUUAAGCUAAUACCGCAUAAUGCAGCGGCUCGACAUCGAGACAGUUGUUAAAGGAGCAAUCCGCCUCUUGAGCAGCCUGCGGCAGAUUAGCUAGUUGGUAAGGUAAUGGCUUACCAAGGCUACGAUCUGUAACCGACCUGAGAGGGUGGUCGGUCACACUGACACUGAAUAACGGGUCAGACUCCUACGGGAGGCAGCAGUCGGGAAUUUUGGGCAAUGGGCGAAAGCCUGACCCAGCAACGCCGCGUGAAGGAUGAAGUAUUUUCGGUAUGUAAACUUCGUAAGAAUAGGAAGAAUAAAUGACGGUACUAUUUGUAAGGUCCGGCUAACUACGUGCCAGCAGCCGCGGUAAU
rnacentral:rRNA from 1 species